UCUCCGGUCGCUGUCCACCACCGCGUCUGCGGCGGCGGCGCGGUGUGGCGCCACCUGCUGCUCCUCCUCACCGCCCAACCGCUCGCGCUCGCCCUCCUCGCGUUCGCGCUCCAGUGGCACGGCGGCGGCGUGGACGACGCCGGCUCCCGCUGGCCUGCUCGCCUGGCCGUGCCGGCCCCGUCGAGGCUGCACUCCCUCCACUCCUCCGCCGCCUCCUGCGUCGAGGUGCUCGCCGCCCCCGCCUUCCCCAACCUCCGCGGCUGGUCCUUCCACUUCGACGCGCCGGACCCCCACCACCCCAAGGUGUGCGUGCAAACGAGCACCUCCGCAGGCCUGGACCAGAUCCUGCCGUGGCUCUUCUACCGCAAGGUCGUCGGCGUCGCGCACUUUUUGCUCUUUGUCGAGGGCAAGGCCGCCAAGCCCAGUGUCGCCGGGGUCCUCGAGUCCAUCCCCGUGCAUUCCUCGCUUGAGAUUUCCAAGAAUCCAGUAGUACCAAUUUCACUCUGCUUGUUCUCAAUCUCUGACUCUGUUUCUCUUCUUCUUCUUUAGGGGGUGAAGGUGGGGUACAGGACCAAGGAGCUUGAGGAGCAGCAGGCCAGCCGAAUCUGGAAUGAAACCUGGCUCGCAGGAUUCUUCUACAAGCCUUGCAACCACGAACUGUUUGUGAAGCAAUCACUCAACAUGGAGAUGGCCAUUGUGAUGGCCCGGGAAUCUGGCAUGGAUUGGAUAAUGAUCCAUCUAGACACCAAUGAGUUGCUAUAUCCCGGUGGAGCUCCCGAGUAUUCCAUCAGACGCCUGUUAGCUGACGUCCCCGAUGAUGUUGACAUGGUUA